CACUGCUACACACACACACCCUACUGAACCAUGCCAAGUCUGCAGUCUGAACUCAGAUCAUAGUGAGAGGAACAGAAUAAAAAAAACGCUAUACCACUCUCUCUUCCCUUUCCUGAUCUCUCUUGUUAUCUGUCACAGAAGAGGCACCGAGGUGAGGAGGUCUACGUUUAAAGGGCAAGAACAGACCAAUAGGAACGUUGUCAGCGAGUGGUCGUCCAAUCACCUCUCGCCACAUUUUCUGUUCUUUUCACCGACAAUUUGAUUUGUUUUUAUUGUUGGUCAACACCCAGCAGGUGAUCUACUGCACACGGUCAAUGGAGGUGGUCUGUGUUUAGUAUUCAGGUGAUCUACUGCACACGGUCAAUGGAGGUGGUCUGUGUUUAGUAUUCAGGUGAUCUACUGCACACGGUCAAUGGAGGUGGUCUGUGUUUAGUAUUCAGGUGAUCUACUGCACACGGUCAAUGGAGGUGGUCUGUGUUUAGUAUUCAGGUGAUCUACUGCACACGGUCAAUGGAGGUGGUCUGUGUUUAGUAUUCAGGUGAUCUACUGCACACGGUCAAUGGAGGUGGUCUGUGUUUAGUAUUCAGGUGAUCUACUGCACACGGUCAAUGGAGGUGGUCUGUGUUUAGUAUUCAGGUGAUCUACUGCACACGGUCAAUGGAGGUGGUCUGUGUUUAGUAUUCAGGUGGUCUGUGUUUAGUAUUCAGGUGAUCUACUGCACACGGUCAAUGGAGGUGGUCUGUGUUUAGUAUUCAGGUGAUCUACUGCACACGGUCAAUGGAGGUGGUCUGUGUUUAGUAUUCAGGUGGUCUGUGUUUAGUAUUCAGGUGAUCUACUGCACACGGUCAAUGGAGGUGGUCUGUGUUUAGUAUUCAGGUGGUCUGUGUUUAGUAUUCAGGUGAUCUACUGCACACGGUCAAUGGAGGUGGUCUGUGUUUAGUAUUCAGGUGAUCUACUGCACACGGUCAAUGGAGGUGGUCUGUGUUUAGUAUUCAGGUGAUCUACUGCACACGGUCAAUGGAGGUGGUCUGUGUUUAGUAUUCAGGUGAUCUACUGCACACGGUCAAUGGAGGUGGUCUGUGUUUAGUAUUCAGGUGAUCUACUGCACACGGUCAAUGGAGGUGGUCUGUGUUUAGUAUUCAGGUGAUCUACUGCACACGGUCAAUGGAGGUGGUCUGUGUUUAGUA